rnacentral:rRNA from 1 species
CACUGCAUUUCCCCUAGUACGGCGAGUGAAGAGGGAAGAGCCCAAGAUUGAAAGCUGGCGCCUUCGGCGUCCGCAUUGUAAUCUCAAGAAGUGUUUUCCGCUUCGGACCAUGCCUAAGUCCCUUGGAAAAGGGCAUCAUAGAGGGUGAUAAUCCCGUACAUGGCAUGGAGCGCCCGAAGCUUUGUGAUACGCUUUCUAAGAGUCGAGUUGUUUGGGAAUGCAGCUCAAAAUGGGUGGUAAAUGCCAUCUAAGGCUAAAUAUUGGGGAGAGACCGAUAGCGAACAAGUACAGUGAUGGAAAGAUGAAAAGAACUUUGAAAAGAGAGUUAAACAGUACGUGAAAUUGCCAAAAGGGAAGGGUAGGAGGUCAGAGAUGCGUCGCAGGAUUCAGCCUUGCUUUUGCUUGGUGUUUUUCCUGCGUUGCAGGCCAACGUCGGUUUUGGGCACUGGAGAAGGGUAGGAGGAACGUGGCACCUCUCGGGGUGUGUUAUAGCCUCCUACUGGAUACAGCGACCGAGACCGAGGAACGCAGCGUACUCGUAAGAGCGGGCCUUUUGGCACCUUUACGCUUAGGGCGUUGGCAUAAUGGCCCUCUACCACCCGUCUUGAAACACGGACCCA